rnacentral:rRNA from 1 species
UAUUGGUCCAUGGUCGGGAGACUGAACCAGCCAAGCCGCGUGAGGGAGGAAGGUACAGCGUAUCGUAAACCUCUUUUGUCAGGGAACANNGGCGGGGACGUGUCCCCGGAUGAGUGUACCUGACGCAAAAGCAUCGGCUAACUCCGUGCCAGCAGCCGCGGUAAUACGGAGGAUGCGAGCGUUAUCCGGAUUUAUUGGGUUUAAAGGGUGCGCAGGGGGUCGGUUAAGUGAGCGGUCAAAGCCCGGGGCUCAACCCCGGCCCGCCGUUGAAACUGGCAGUCUCGAGUUGGAGAGAAGUAUGCGGAAUGCGCGGUGUAGCGGUGAAAUGCAUAGAUAUCGCGCAGAACUCCGAUUGCGAAGGCAGCAUGCCGGCUCCACACUGACGCUGAGGCACGAAAGCGUGGGUAUCGAACAGG